rnacentral:rRNA from 1 species
UACGAAGGGAGCUAGCGUCGUUCGGAAUCACUGGGCGUAAAGCGCACGUAGGCGGAUUUGCCAGUCAGGGGUGAAAUCCCGGGGCUCAACCUCGGAACUGCCCUUGAUACAGCAAGUCUUGAGUUCGAGAGAGGUGGGUGGAAUUCCUAGUGUAGAGGUGAAAUUCGUAGAUAUUAGGAAGAACACCGGUGGCGAAGGCGGCCCACUGGCUCGACACUGACGCUGAGGCACGAAAGUGUGGGGAUCAAACAGG